GACGAACGCUGGCGGCGUGCUUAACACAUGCAAGUCGAACGGAAAGGCCCUGCUUUUGUGGGGUGCUCGAGUGGCGAACGGGUGAGUAACACGUGAGUAACCUGCCCUUGACUUUGGGAUAACUUCAGGAAACUGGGGCUAAUACCGGAUAGGAGCUCCUGCGGCAUGGUGGGGGUUGGAAAGUUUCGGCGGUUGGGGAUGGACUCGCGGCUUAUCAGCUUGUUGGUGGGGUAGUGGCUUACCAAGGCUUUGACGGGUAGCCGGCCUGAGAGGGUGACCGGCCACAUUGGGACUGAGAUAAGGCCCAGACUCCUACGGGAGGCAGCAGUGGGGAAUAUUGCACAAUGGGCGGAAGCCUGAUGCAGCAACGCCGCGUGCGGGAUGACGGCCUUCGGGUUGUAAACCGCUUUCGCCUGUGACGAAGCGUGAGUGACGGUAAUGGGUAAAGAAGCACCGGCUAACUACGUG
rnacentral:rRNA from 1 species